GGCGGGCUGGAAACCUGGGGGUCGCACCUCCUCUAAGUCGCAGCCCCACGUGGCCGUCGGAGGCACUGAGCCCUCCACGCUGAGGCCUUGGCUGCCGCUGCACCGUCCCGGCAGGGGGCCGCAUGUGCAGACCCUCAGCGGGGCCUCGGGAUGGCGGAGUCUGCCAUUCACGGGCAGCUCUGAGAACCAGCUCCUUCCUCUGAGCCUGACGUCUGCCGCCAGCGACUCGGCUGCCACCUGGCCCAGAGCAGGCGACGGGAUGCUGGAGACGGACGGGGGACGCUCAAGUCACAGGGCCUGAAAACACUUGGAUCUCUCUGAGCUGGAGAAGCAGGGCCACUGGGGACCCAGACCCCUGCAGCCCUGGCCCUGGCCCCGGCCCGGCUGUGCUGGGCAGAGCAGCUGACUCCUCAGGACUCAGUUUUCCUUCUUGUGGGAAUGGGUGCGUUGGCCAAGAUAGGGGUUCUGAACGUGGGGCGAAAUCAGGGGGUCUGUGAACUUCGAGACGCUUCUGCAGUUAUGAAUGAAGGCCCUUGGCCACAGCAGAGUCAGUAGUAUCUGCCACUUUGCCACACACAAAACCCCAGGCAUUUUCGUAUCAGUGCCUGUUGUGGGAGACACCUUGAAAUAUGGCUCACCUCGAUUAUUAUUUCCAAGUUAAGGUGGUUCGUGGACCUGCCACUAUCAUGCUAUUUAAUGCAUUAAAAAAGAAGCACAUACAGCGCCAGUGGCAUAGUGGUUAAGUUCGUGCACUCUGCUUCGGUGUCAUGGGGUUCACAGGUUCAGAUCCCAAGCACAGGCUUACACACUGCUCAUAAAGUCACGCUGUGGCACUGUCCUACAUAUAAAAUAGAGGAAGAUCGGCACACAUGUUAGCUCAGCAACAAUAUUCCUCAAGCAAGAAGAGGACGAUUGGCAACAAGUGUUAGCUCAGGGCCAAUCUUCCUCACCAAAAAAAAAAAUUAAAAAAAAAACACGUGCAAUAGCCAAAAGACAGAAAAAAACCCACAUGUCCAACAACCAACAAAAAGAUAAAUAAAUUGUGGUCUAUCCAUACCCUGGAAUAUUAUUCAGUCAUAAAAAGGAAUGAAGUUCUGACACACGCUACAACAUGGACGAACCUCAAAAACGUUACGUUAAGUGAAAGAAGCCAGACACAAAAGACCACAUAUUUAUGAUUCCACUCUGUGAAAUAUUCAGAAUAGAUAACUCAGCUCCAUGGAGACAGAACACAGAUCGGUGGUUGCCGGGGGGGCGGGGGGUGGAAUGAGGAGCAACUGUUUGAUGGUCACCGAGUGUCCUUUUGAGAUGAUGAAAAUGUUCUGGAAGUAGAUCGAGGUGGUGGCUGCACAGCAUGGAAGAAGAAAAUGAAAUGGAUUUGGUGAAGACAGGACAGUGUCUCUACCACGCAACGAGAAAGGAGACCUCCAGACGCCGCCAAGCCAAAACUCAAAGCAGGAGAGACGAGGCGAGAAGGCGAGCCUCCUGCCUGGGUCGCCAGCCACUCUUCAGGAGCUGAUCCCUCCUGCGACCGCGUCUGACUCCCACCCCACCAGGGCACUUCCUAUAGUUAACGGCUAGGUUUUAAUUAAACAUUGAUUUGCUACUAAUUAGUCUAAUGAUUCGUCUUGGGGAGGAGACAGUGCUGUCAGACCCCAUAAAGGAGGCGGGGAAGACAACGCAAGAUUAUGGCUUAGGUGGAAAUGCUAUUUCUCCCUCCCUCUGGGCCAAAUGUUUUCUAUGGUUCUGGUCUAUUCUAGAUGAUGCUUUCAGUGUGAAUUUUCCUAAUCGGUUUGAGUCUGAUGCAGUCCCAGGUGACCGAGGCAGAGAAGAUCGAAUCUAUUCGCCUUUUCAUCAGAUUUCAGCCUCUUAACGCAGCUAGAGAGCCUUUCCCCACUUAGAGAGGAAUUAGUUUCUGUCGCCACAAUGAAGUCAUCCUGGGCUGAGAGGCUGUCCCCUCCCAGGUCCUUUUUCGGGGGUCAGACCUCGCCAAGGACUUCUGAGACGCGAGCACGGCUGAGCUUCUGCCCCAGAGCAGAUUUUGCCAGCACCUAAUGCUCCG
rnacentral:lncRNA from 1 species